CGCGAGCGAACAUUCGCACCUGGUUCAAUGCGGACCCUUGUUCCCGGAGCGGAGUUGGGGGAUGGGGUGGAAGCGACUUUUUACCAGUAUACGGAACCCCGGAAACGUGCUGGGGCUAAGGAACUACUGACAGCCUCCUAUGGCCAUGCUCUCCUAUGAGUUCUGGGGGCUGGCACUUACUGUACAGAACAGAAUGGACCUGUCCCUACCUUCAGAGACCUUCCAGCUUUGGGGAGAAGAUCAGCAAAUCAGGGGAGAAUUACACAGCAGCAGCAAGCUCUUUGACAGAGGUCUUUCUUCUAAUUCUUCUGGCCAAUCAAGGUCCCAGCAAGCCGCUGACAGGGUGAGAGAAGGGAAAAAGGCAAGAUUUAUCUAGGCCUUUGAUGUACCAGGAGCGUCUAGAGUGUCCUCAUCUACGGUAUCUCAUUUUAUCCUCUCUACCUCCCUGUGAACUAGAGCUUUUUAUGCCCAUUUUGACACCUGAAGAAACCAAGGCUCCAGCAAUUAAGUAACUUGCCCGAGGAUGGAGUACAGAGCCAGGCUUCCAAUCCAGGGGUCACUUUUCAGAGCUUUUGCCCUUCCUGCAUCCUGGGACGAAGUGGAAUACAACAGAAAACCUCUACUGGGAUCACAUGGCAAGUUUACUUCUCUCCGGGGAGACUCUAGCCCUUUUUCCCCAACCUACGAAAAAGAAAAGGCCGAGGGGAGACUGAAGAUCUUUUGUGAGAUCUGCUAGAACUUCAUGAAAAGGUGCUGACACCACAAAGCAAGAACUUGGAUCCCAUCCCUGCCUCCUGGGAUUAACCUAUAUUUCCUCAUUGGCCCAUUGGCCUGAGAUCCAAGAGACAAAGAGAGACAUGCCCCAGAGCACAGGCAGCAGAAAAGUUCGGGCGAGUUCUGGAAGACUCUGACCUGCCCCAGGCUAGGGAGGGCACUACCUGGAGAGUUCUGCCAGAUUCUUCUGAAGCUGUCACUUGGGCCUGGCCCCUCCUCCUUCCCCUCUCUCCUCCCCCACGUCUGACCCUGCAGAGAGGCACGUCCAGCACGAAUUCCUCCGAACCUCAGCUGCCUUUAGGAUUUUAAUGUGUCUAAAGAGUUCCCUUCCUUGACAAGCGGCAGCAUUAGUCAAGUUGAGUGGGUGGGAAGGGCAUUUCCCGUCAAUCCAGGGCCCCGGAGGGAGGGGAGACCCUCCUCCCUCCCAGCCUCGGCAAGCAGCUCCUGCAGAGAUCCACGUGGGUGGCACCUGAGUCCAGAGGAGCCAAAGGGUUGCUUGCUGGGCAGGAAUGCCCACAGCCCGCACCUUCCUCAGCCCUCCUAGCACCUCAUCCUGUCUGGACCCGUGGAGGGGGUGGCGGUGCCAGGGAGUGGGUUCUCCUGUGUCUGACUCCAA